GGGAUUCCCUUAGUAACGGCGAGCGAAAAGGGAUGAGCCCAGUAUGUAAAUCUCCAGCUUUCAGCUGGCGAAUUGUAGUCUGGAGAGGCAACUCCUGGAAUCUUGUCGGCCCAAGCAUCUUGGAAUGGAUCGCCUGAGAGGGUGAGAGCCCCGUAGGCCGGCCAAGAGUCCUUCACGGAGUGCUUUCGGAGAGUCGGGUUGUUUGGGAAUGCAGCCCCAAUUGGGUGGUAAACCCCAUCUAAGGCUAAAUACCUGUGGGAGACCGAUAGCAAAAAAGUACCUCGAGGGAACGAUGAAAAGACCGCUGGCAAGCGAGUGAAAGAGUGCAUGAAAUUGUAUAGUGGGAAGGGAUGGCCUGGCGUGCUGCCUCCGGGUAUACACUGCUCUUGGAGCUCUUGCAAUACAUCGGAGGCUGGUUGGUGCCGAUACCCAUGCUUGCAAACCCCCAAACUAAGGUGUUUGGCUUUUCAAGCGCGGGUGUUGAGGUUGAUCGUUGCUUUGUCUUUAGCUGCAUCGACAUAGCACCAGCU
rnacentral:rRNA from 1 species